AAAGCCUGCGAACCAGACCUCAGGCUCUGGCGUUGGGAGUGCAUCUUCACACUCCUGCACUGCUUGAUAGAGGGUU
rnacentral:tRNA from 1 species